CCACCUACGCGAGCCGUGCGCCCGCCCCCGGGCUGGGGAACGCGGGCCUGGGGAACCCUAAGCAGUGAGUCCCCCGCGACCUCCACGGGUCCCGGGCGCAGAGGCCGGCUACCAGCUCUUUGACCUUGGAUGGAAAGUGGCUAAUGGGCUGGGGUGCCCCGGACCCCUACCGUGGAUUACUUGGUGCGCAUCAGCCGGGCUUAAGACUCUUGACCUGGUCUCCAUCCGUGGAUUGAUUCAUCCCACCCAGCAGUCGGGUCGCUUGCCUGGAGGCGGGAUCGGAGGUUCGUCGCCAACCCGGGCAGGUGCUUCGGACCCAGAAAGGACAGGACGAAGGUGAAAUGGCACGCAAGGCCUCGAAAAGAGGAUUGGCAGAGGGCUGCCCCUUCUCGCCACCACUUCCCACCAGGAAGCGUCGGGGAGCCAGCGUGUGCCACCAGGGUCCCCCUGAAGAACCUGGCUCAGAGGCGACCGUCUCUUAAGAGGCAAGAGCUCUAUACUGGAUCGAGAAUUCUUAUUUUGGAGGGUAAAGAAGAUUCUGGAUUUGAGAAGACACUUAAGGAGAAAGCGAGACCCUUCACACCGAGGAAUAGUUUCCGCGAUGACCUGCGCACACGGGGAAGUGCGUCGCUGGGCCACCUACCGCUGGAGAGGACCCCGCUAUCCCAGACCUUGCUUUUCCUUCUUACGGAAAACCCUCCCUCUCCUGCCGCCGGCUCCGAA